GUCUACAGCCAUACCACCUUGAACACACCUGAUCUCAGAAGCUAAGCAGGGUCGGGAAUGGUUAGUACUUGGAUGGGAGAAAAGGAAGUAGAGA
rnacentral:rRNA from 1 species